AUGGUAUGCACGAAUUCUGAUGAUAAGAAGGCGGAAUACCUCCUGAAGCGGAGUCAGGCACGCGCUAAAAAGAAGGCUGCAACUCUUAUUUGUGCCAACUGUCAGCAAGUAUCUCAGGACCAACCUUCUUCAUUUCUGUCUCCACAACGCACACCUUUGAGCAAUAUUACCAACACACAUAAAUCCGUCAGUACAGCUGCAAGCUGUGGGAAUACUGCUCAUCAACCUGCAGAGAGCAAUGUUGAAUGCAAAAAAACAAAGUGGGGGGUGGUAUGCCCAUCUGUCCCAAGAGAAGAAAGUGGGUAG
rnacentral:rRNA from 1 species